rnacentral:lncRNA from 1 species
ACUUAUCUGAGCCCUAAUCUGUACAGCAGAAGCUAUCGGUAAAGGCUCGUCAGCAAAAACUAAAGAAAUAUAACCACUGAGAACAUGCUGGCAUGACUGAACAAACACAUGAAGAAUAAUGUGAAAUUAAAAAGGCAUAAAAUCUCAUUUCAUUGAUGAAAGCUUUCUUACAGGAACAAAAGGAAAGAAAAAAUACAAGAUGUCUCAUUUUUCAACCUCAUCCUAA